AUUGAACGCUGGCGGAAUGCUUUACACAUGCAAGUCGAACGGCAGCACGGACUUCGGUCUGGUGGCGAGUGGCGAACGGGUGAGUAAUGUAUCGGAACGUGCCCAGUCGCGGGGGAGAACGUAGGGAAAAUUACGCUAAUACCGCAUACGAUCUAUGGAUGAAAGCGGGGGAUCGCAAGACCUCGCGCGAUUGGAGCGGGCGAGAUCAGAUUAGGUAGUUGGUGGGGUAAAGGCCCACCAAGCCAACGAUCUGUAGCUGGUCUGAGAGGACGACCAGCCACACUGGAACUGAGACACGGUCCAGACUCCUACGGGAGGCAGCAGUGGGGAAUUUUGGACAAUGGGCGAAAGCCUGAUCCAGCCAUUCCGCGUGCAGGAUGAAGGCCCUCGGGUUGUAAACUGCUUUUGUACAGAACGAAAAGGUUUCUACUAAUACUAGGAGCUCAUGACGGUACUGUAAGAAUAAGCACCGGCUAACUACGUGCCAGCCGCCGCGGUAA
rnacentral:rRNA from 1 species